rnacentral:misc_RNA from 1 species
GUGAAUCAUCGAAUCUUUGAACGCAAAUUGCACUCUCUUCGGAGAGUAUGCCUGUUUGAGGGUCAGCCUAAAAAAAAUCCACAACCUUUCUGUUUCGCGGUGGGGUUCGUCCGAAAUUGGGUUAACUUUAAUCUUUAGUUUAAGCGACUUAAAAUUUUCUUUACGAUUCCAUGAACGUUUUCAAGUUUUAAUUCCUUACACCUUUAAGGUAU